rnacentral:rRNA from 1 species
AUUGAACGCUGGCGGCAGGCUUAACACAUGCAAGUCGAGCGGGGGAGGUUGCUUCGGUAACUGACCUAGCGGCGGACGGGUGAGUAAUGCUUAGGAAUCUGCCUAUUAGUGGGGGACAACAUUCCGAAAGGGAUGCUAAUACCGCAUACGCUCUACGGGGGAAAGCAGGGGAUCUUCGGACCUUGCGCUAAUAGAUGAGCCUAAGUCGGAUUAGCUAGUUGGUGGAGUAAAGGCCUACCAAGGCGACGAGCUGUAGCGGGUCUGAGAGGAUGAUCCGCCACACUGGGACUGAGACACGGCCCAGACUCCUACGGGAGGCAGCAGUGGGGAAUAUUGGACAAUGGGCGGAAGCCUGAUCCAGCCAUGCCGCGUGUGUGAAGAAGGCCUUUUGGUUGUAAAGCACUUUAAGCGAGGAGGAGGCUCUUAAGGUUAAUACCCUUGAUGAGUGGAGGUUACUCGCAGAAUAAGCACCGGCUAACUCUGUGCCAGCCGCCGCAGUAAGAC